rnacentral:rRNA from 1 species
AGCGAACGCUGGCGGCGGGCUUAACACAUGCAAGUCGAGCGCCCCGCAAGGGGAGCGGCAGACGGGAGAGUAACACGUGGGAACAUACCUUUUGGUUCGGAACAACUGAGGGAAACUUCAGCUAAUACCGGAUAAGCCCUUACGGGGAAAGAUUUAUCGCCGAAAGAUUGGCCCGCGUCUGAUUAGCUAGUUGGUGAGGUAACGGCUCACCAAGGCGACGAUCAGUAGCUGGUCUGAGAGGAUGAUCAGCCUCACUGGGACUGAGACACGGCCCAGACUCCUACGGGAGGCAGCAGUGGGGAAUAUUGGACAAUGGGGGCAACCCUGAUCCAGCCAUGCCGCGUGAGUGAUGAAGGCCUUAGGGUUGUAAAGCUCUUUUGCCCGGGAAGAUAAUGACGGUACCGGGAGAAUAAGCCCCGGCUAACUUCGUG